GUGCUCCCAAUCAGUAGCACGUAUACUAAACUUCAAACAACACAGAGAUUAGCAUGGACCCUGAGCAAGGAUGGCAUACAAAUUCGUGAAGUGUUCCAUAUUUUU
ensembl:snRNA U6 U6 spliceosomal RNA